rnacentral:rRNA from 1 species
AGUGAACGCUGGCGGUAGGCCUAACACAUGCAAGUCGAACGGCAGCACAGUAAGAGCUUGCUCUUACGGGUGGCGAGUGGCGGACGGGUGAGGAAUACAUCGGAAUCUACUUUUUCGUGGGGGAUAACGUAGGGAAACUUACGCUAAUACCGCAUACGACCUACGGGUGAAAGCAGGGGAUCUUCGGACCUUGCGCGAUUGAAUGAGCCGAUGUCGGAUUAGCUAGUUGGCGGGGUAAAGGCCCACCAAGGCGACGAUCCGUAGCUGGUCUGAGAGGAUGAUCGGCCACACUGGAACUGAGACACGGUCCAGACUCCUACGGGAGGCAGCAGUGGGGAAUAUUGGACAAUGGGCGCAAGCCUGAUCCAGCCAUACCGCGUGGGUGAAGAAGGCCUUCGGGUUGUAAAGCCCUUUUGUUGGGAAAGAAAAGCAGCAGGUUAAUACCCCGCUGUUCUGACGGUACCCAAAGAAUAAGCAUCGGCUAACUUCGUG